CCUACGGGAGGCAGCAGUGAGGAAUAUUGGUCAAUGGGCUUACGCCUGAACCAGCCAAGUCGCGUGAGGGAAGACUGCCCUAUGGGUUGUAAACCUCUUUUGUCAGGGAGCAAUUGGCGCUACGUGUAGCGUUAUCGAUAGUACCUGCAGACAAAGCAUCGGCUAACUCCGUGCCAGCAGCCGCGGUCAUACGGAGGAUGGGAGCGUUAUCCGGAUUUAUUGGGUUAAAAGGGUGCGUAGGCGGAAUGCCAAGUCAGCGGUAAAAUCGCGGGGCUCAACCUCGCUCAGCCGUUGAAACUGGCGGUCUUGAGUGGGCGAGAAGUAUGCGGAAUGCGUGGUGUAGCGGUGAAAUGCAUAGAUAUCACGCAGAACUCCGAUUGCGAAGGCAGCAUACCGGCGCCCAACUGACGCUGAAGCACGAAAGCGUGGGUAUCGAACAGGAUUAGAUACCCCGGUAGUC
rnacentral:rRNA from 1 species